AGGACGAACGCUAGCGGCGUGCUUAACACAUGCAAGUCGAACGGAAAGGCCCUUUCGGGGGUACUCGAGUGGCGAACGGGUGAGUAACACGUGGGUGAUCUGCCCUGCACUUUGGGAUAAGCCUGGGAAACUGGGUCUAAUACCGAAUACACCCUGCUGGUCGCAUGGCCUGGUGGGGGAAAGCUUUUGCGGUGUGGGAUGGGCCCGCGGCCUAUCAGCUUGUUGGUGGGUGAUGGCCUACCAAGGCGACGACGGGUAGCCGGCCUGAGAGGGUGUUCGGCCACACUGGGACUGAGAUACGGCCCAGACUCCUACGGGAGGCAGCAGUAGGGAAUAUUGCACAAUGGAGGAAACUCUGAUGCAGCGACGCCGCGUGAGUGACGAAGGCCUUCGGGUUGUAAAGCUCUGUUCUCAGGGAAAAGCAAGUGAUUGUACCUGAGGAGAAAGGACCGGCUAACUUCGUGCCAGCAGCCGC
rnacentral:rRNA from 1 species